CCAGAAGCCUCUAAAAGUGAUUCUUGAAAAUCAUGUUCAAAGAUGUCAACAACCUGGUCAACUCUGAGAUGAACUCUGGGAUAGAAUGUAGAUCCAGAAAUAAUGAGUAGAACUGCAAAAAUGCUAUCUUCCUGAUGUGUUGCAUCUCUGAUUAGUUUCCUACAUGUUCCAUCUGGAUCUCUCACUCCUGCCCAAGGCAGAGCUUAUGGUGAAAGUUCUGAAUGACCUUUGGUGGUACCAGCAUAAUUCCAGCAAGAUUACUAUUGCUUCUGAAAAGGAAUGCUAAUAUUCUGCCAGUGUGACUGCAUAACAUCAAGAUAUGGAGCAUAACUGCUUCAGAAGAACUAAAAAUUAACAUCAUAUAGAGGGCAAUAGAGAGUUGCAUGAUGGAUGUAAGCAGGCUGCAAUGUAUAACCAAUGAAGAACAAUGAAGAACAAAUGAACUGUAUGCUAAGAAGAGACUAUGAACACUUCCCAUGUGGCAAAAAAUGUGGGAUAACAGGUGAUGUACUCUAUUGAUGUCCUGACAAGAGAAAAUGAGGAAGGCCUCUAGGACAUUGGAAAGACCUUCUAUGGCACACUUUUGAGAGGAUAUAACCAACAGUUGUACAGGAUAGCAGGCAUGAAUAGGUUUGACCUCAAAUUGAUGAGAUCACAGAUUCAUUUGAGUUGUGAGAUGGGUCAGUGGUAACUCUACAGCUCAAUAAGGCAACUAUGUCUGGAGCCAUCUUCUGGGAGUAAUAUGGAACUAGAGCAUGAGACAAUAUGGUUUUUGUUUGUGUUUUUGUGGUUCUGAGAACCUCUUUCAACAACGACAAAUGUUGUGAACCCCCAGAAGAGGUGAAUAUAUUCAUUAUAUUCUUUUAUGUUCAUUAAGUGUUUGCAAUAACCACAAUGAUUUUCUUGCUUCCAAAAACUCCAAAUGAUACAUCAUAUAAUUAUAAUUAUAAAAUGUAAAAUCUAUCCUACCUGUAAUCAUGGAACUAAAAAAUAUAACCCUAUAAAACUCUAAUUAUAAAAUAAAUACUAUUUUAUGAGAUUCUGUAAGAAUUAAAAAAGCAA